rnacentral:rRNA from 1 species
UAGGGAAUCUUCGGCAAUGGGCGAAAGCCUGACCGAGCAACGCCGCGUGAAUGAUGAAGGCCUUCGGGUUGUAAAAUUCUGUUAUAAGGGAAGAAUGGCUCUAGUAGGAAAUGGCUAGGGUGUGACGGUACCUUAUGAGAAAGCCACGGCUAACUACGUGCCAGCAGCCGCGGUAAUACGUAGGUGGCGAGCGUUAUCCGGAAUUAUUGGGCGUAAAGAGCGCGCAGGUGGUUGAUUAAGUCUGAUGUGAAAGCCCACGGCUUAACCGUGGAGGGUCAUUGGAAACUGGUCAACUUGAGUGCAGAAGAGGGAAGUGGAAUUCCAUGUGUAGCGGUGAAAUGCGUAGAGAUAUGGAGGAACACCAGUGGCGAAGGCGGCUUCCUGGUCUGUAACUGACACUGGGACGCGAAAGCUAGGGUAGCAAACG